GAAUGACAAUAAAAGUAUAUGACAGACAGGAAAAGAGGGUCAGUUUGAUUGUGAAGGGUGCCGCUGACAUCAUAGCACAUCGGUUCUGUGAAGAGGAUCAAUAUUGUCCAGGGCUACAUAAGGCGACCGCUCAAAGGGACCCUGCAUUCUCUCUGAAGUGAAGGUCACUCUUCUGCUCCACGCCGCACCAGCCCAGGGUAAAAUCAUGGCCUUUCUCAUCACCUUGGGACAGAUGCUACUGCUCACAACAGUUAUCUUCCACCACACAGGAUCCCUUCCUCUGUGGGAGAGUAACCAGGGGGGUCUGGAGGGGAUCAUCAGGAGUGAGAUCAGUCGUUUAAACACCCAGUCCCUGUUCGCCAGGAACUAUGUGAAUGCCCUGGUUGAAGCCAGCCUGAGAUCGGGCCCACAGACGAGACAGUUGGGGGACAUUGAGUUUUCCAAUAGAUACGCUGAGUACUUGAGGUCCAAAGCUAAGCACAGCUCAAUCUGCGCGUUCCUCCGACGCAUGCAGAGUGCUAAGAAAAGUGGGUUAGGAGGAGAUACAGAGAAGGUCAACCUGCUGUUGAAGCAGUACAUGUGUCCCAAUGUCUACCACUGGGCGGCUGAGUUAUAACUGGAGGACAACAGGGCUGGAAAUGUUGGAAACGACUGAAGUCUCCAGCUGGACUACUAUGGUAGUCUGACGGCCUAAUGUUACAGUGGUAACCAGUGGGCUGCUUGAUCAUUUUAAGAUACUAUUCUAUUAGAUUAUGUUUAAUCAGUCAUGGAAAGUUAUGACAUUGAGGUCUCAGGGGGUAAUAAAUAUGUUUUAUUAAUUAGACUAAUCUGUAGUUAUUUGAAUUACUUUAUUCAUACAGAAGGAACUUCAGUUGUGGCAAGUUGGAUAAGAUAACUCUAACGAUAUAUAGUGAACAUAUAAACAGCAAAAUUCACACAUGACAGAUAUAAAUGCUUACAAGGUAUAUACACAAGGUAAAUGUAAGUUACACAAAUCUAUUUCAUUAAAAGUGCUGUUCUCUACAAGACAAACACAAGUCACACAAAUAAAAUGUUCACUUAAAAGAUGUACUGAUAUCAGUGCAAGACUGUUAGUGGCUCUCUUGGUUUAAAGAGCUAAGAACCUGAGACGGUGCCCUGAUGGCAGUACCGUAUAUUGGCUGUUCAGUGGAUGUGUAAGAUCCAAAACUAUUUCUUUACCCCUCUUACAUGUGCACUCUUUGUAAAUGUCUCAGUGCUAUAUAUAAAUAACACACACACACACACACACACACACACACACACACACACACACACACACACACACACACACACACACACACACACACACACACACACACUACCUGUACCACCAGUGUCAGUACCACUUUACAAAUAAUUCCUUUCAUGAUUAAGCAUUAACAAACUAUUCAUAAAUAUGUACUUCAUUAUUUGUAAACAUUUAUAAGCAUGAUUAUUUAUGAGUAUUUAUAACACUUUUAAAAGUAAUGGCUAAUUUAUGAAAGUUAUUACAAAAUGUUACCCAAGAAUCUAUAGACUGGGUAGGUAAAAUGAUACCUGAACCUGAUACUACACUCUUAGAAAAAAGUGUUCCAAAAGGGUUCUUUGGCUAUCCACAUAUGAGAACCCUUUUUGGCUACAGGCAGAACUCUUUUGGGUUCCAUGUAGAAACCUCUGUGGAAAUGGUUCUACAUAGAACACAAAAGGGUUCUUCUACCUGGAACCAAAAAGGGUUCUUCAAAGGGUUCUCCUAUGGGGACAGCUGAAGAACCUUUUCGGUUUUAGAUGGCACCUUUUUUUCUAAGAGAGUAUAUAAAGACUGUCAUGGACUUACCCUUUUCUUUGUAAAUUAAUCUGAUAACAAUUCUGAAAUGUCACAUGAUGUUCCUUCCUUUAUUGUCAUUG
rnacentral:lncRNA from 1 species